GGGCGGUUAGCUCAGCUGGAAGAGCGGCUGGUUUACACCCAGUAGGUCGGGAGUUCGAACCUCUCACCGCCCACCA
rnacentral:tRNA from 2 species